rnacentral:rRNA from 1 species
UCUCCUACGGGACGCAGCAGUGGGGAAUAUUGCACAAUGGGGGAAACCCUGAUGCAGCGACGCCGCGUGAAGGAAGACGGUUUUCGGAUUGUAAACUUCUGUUCUUAGUGAAGAAUAAUGACGGUAGCUAAGGAGCAAGCCACGGCUAACUACGUGCCAGCAGCCGCGGUAAUACGUAGGUGGCAAGCGUUGUCCGGAAUUACUGGGUGUAAAGGGAGCGCAGGCGGGAAGCCAAGGCAGCUGUGAAAACUACGGGCUUAAC